rnacentral:snRNA from 1 species
UUUCCAUUAGAUAAAAAAGAACU